rnacentral:rRNA from 1 species
GCAAUGCGUGGCAUACGGCUCAGUAACACGUAGUCAACAUGCCCAGGGGACGUGGAUAACCUCGGGAAACUGAGGAUAAACCGCGAUAGGCCAAGGUUUCUGGAAUGGACACUGGCUGAAACCUAUAUGGCCCCUGGAUUGGACUGCGGCCGAUCAGGCUGUUGGUGAGGUAAUGGCCCACCAAACCUGUAACCGGUACGGGCUUUGAGAGAAGGAGCCCGGAGAUGGGCACUGAGACAAGGGCCCAGGCCCUAUGGGGCGCAGCAGGCGCGAAAAUUCUGCAAUAGGCGAAAGCUUGACAGAGUUACUCUGAGUGAUGCCCGCUAAGGGCAUCUUUUGGCACCUCUAAAAAUGGUGCAGAAUAAGGGGUGGGCAAGUCUGGUGUCAGCCGCCGCGGUAAUACCAGCACCCCGAGUGGUCGGGACGAUUAUUGGGCCUAAAGCAUCCGUAGCUUGUUCUGCAAGUCUUCCGUUAAAUCCACCUGCUCAACAGAUGGGCUGCGGGAGAUACUACAGGGCUAGGAGGCGGGAGAGGCAAGCGGUACUCAGUGGGUAGGGGUAAAAUCCUCUGAUCCACUGAAGACCACCAGUGGCGAAGGCGGCUUGCCAGAACGCGCUCGACGGUGAGGGA